CCCUUAGACGUUCUGGGCCGCACGCGCGCUACACUGACACAGGCAACGAGCUUUCCUUUACCGAAAGGUAUGGGUAAUCUUUUGAAACUGUGUCGUGCUGGGGAUAGAUCCUUGCAAUUUUUGAUCUUAAACGAGGAAUUCCUAGUAAGCGCGAGUCAUCAACUCGCGUUGAUUACGUCCCUGCCCUUUGUACACACCGCCCGUCGCUACUACCGAUUGAAUGGCUUAGUGAGGCCUCAGGAUCCGCGCUUAAUGUGUGGAGAAUUUGGACAAACUACGUCAUGUAGAGGAAGUAAAAGUCGUAACA
rnacentral:rRNA from 1 species